AGAGCAAAAUGGAUUCUAAAUGAUAACAAAGAGACAAUUAUGAUUUAUGCCCAUCGAAAAGCUUUUAUAAAAUUGGCGAAUUUAGAGAUGUUGGUUGGGGUGGUAAAUUAUAAUUCAGGAUUUGAACAGAUGUGAUAAAUUAGGUUUGGUUAAUCGAACAAGAAUUAUUUACAAUUCAUUUGAAGUCGCUACGAAUUGGCAGGUUGAGCGCUUGAUGAUGACGUCACUAGCGAGACACUUUUGUCACCAGGGACUGGGGAUAACGGAGCAAAUCGUAUGGCUAUUAGUGCACUUACACCCCCGGACUACAAAGGACCGGGACAGACACGAUGAGUGUGUUUUCUAUUAAGGUGCUGCCAAAACCAGAGGUCCCAGACGAACCAGGGCCAGACACACUCCUCUACCACCCCUGGACCGAACCUGCCACCACUGUGUUAAAAAUCCCAUUCAGGCCUUGUUUCCAGGACUCUGGAGAGAUCGAUGACACUCCAGAUGGUGCGUUAUGGGCCGAUUCCAGGUUCUGCUGAAGGCAUGUCUACAGAAGAAGUGGACGAAUCUGGAUCUGUCAUUUGUGGGGAAUUUAUGUUUGAUGGGGCUAGUAUAGAGAUGAAGGGGAAUUAGAUUGUAAUUUGUUUCCAUGAUUAAACUGUUUUUUAAUGAAGGUCGUGACGAAAAUCCAGAAGGAAGAGUUAUGAUUCUGAUGUAGGUUUAAAAACAGUUGGAGUUAAGGUUAGAUUUGAUUAAUGAUAUUUGGAGAGUUGGAUAAACAUUUAUAAUAAUGUUAAUUUGUUGAUUAUGUGUGUGUCUAUUCAUAUGAUAAUCGGAUAAACCUCUAUAAAAAGGUUAGUUAAAUUCGUUUAUACUUAUAUUUUUUAUGAUUAAAUAAAACUAGAUGUAGAUUUGAAUGUAUAAUAUUUGAUCAAAGGGAGGAUUGUUAGAGGAAAUUGUAGUUAAGAUGAUUAAUUAUGUAUACAUUAUUGAUUAGAACCAUUUAUUCUAAUACUAUUAUGUUAUGGUAUGAAUAGUAAAAGUUAUUGGUUAAGCUGUUACUGAAAAUGUAAGCAGAAUGAAUUAAUUGUCUGUGUCUCUUGGGAAGUCAAAAGGGGAGGGAUGCUAUGGCUUUUCAGACAGAUAAGAAAUGUCUGGGAAAGGUUCCAUUCCUAAAACAAUGGGUUCUUGUGAGAAUCGGAGAGAGGGCGGGAAACUGAUGAUGUCAUGUUCAGUUUAUAACCUGUGGAAAUGUGUGUAAGCAUUUAGUACUCUCUGGAACUAAACGCUCUUACCUGGCUUUUAAGACUGGUCUCAAUCUACUUCAUGCAUAAUUAAGGAACUUACAAUUCAUUAAUGAAUUAGAAAUGAGUGCGAAUUGGUUUUGGCAAUAAAACAUAAAGGAAUUUAGAAUUCCUCUAUCACUCACUUAACCACAGUUCUAUGAGCUAUGGACUAUGCUAGUCUAGCUGUUGGAUCUGUUGUAGCCUUGGGAAGAGUCUUGAGGAAGUGUAGCUACGCGCCCAGGUAUUUAUAGGGGAUGGGGCGCAUCACACCCGUGGCAUGGAAUUACUCUGAUAUUAAUAUCUUGACUCAUCCAGCCGCAAUGAUAACUAGCAUAGUCCCUAGCUCAUAGCACUGUGGUUACGUGAGUAACCUUUGUUCUUCAUCGACACAAUUAACCAAAACAAGGCCGCUUCUAGUCACCUUGAUUAAAUCCACCUUUCCCACUGAUCUUUUCACAGCCCUCAAUAUGACCAAAAUCUCCAAAAUGAAGCUCCCUGUCCUAGAAACGCAGUCCAACAAGAAAUUCAUUAUUGGACCGAUCCUUGUCUUCUACUACUUUUGCUUGUUUCGUUCCAUUCCUUGAUUUCACAAUUUUCCAUUAAUUGUCCCUGUUUAUUAACCUGUUUAGAUUUAAGCCAAAAAAAUUGCCAAAGGAGACCAACCAUGCAGUUUAUAAGGCUACAGUUUAAAUAAGUUAUGAUUAACUUCACAGAGUGGUGAAAGUGUACUGUGAUCUUGAUGUGCCUUUCCAAUAAAUAUUGAGGAUCUCA